rnacentral:rRNA from 1 species
AUUGAACGCUGGCGGCAGGCUUAACACAUGCAAGUCGAGCGGAGAGAGGUAGCUUGCUACUGAUCUUAGCGGCGGACGGGUGAGUAAUGCUUAGGAAUCUGCCUAUUAGUGGGGGACAACAUUCCGAAAGGGAUGCUAAUACCGCAUACGCCCUACGGGGGAAAGCAGGGGAUCUUCGGACCUUGCGCUAAUAGAUGAGCCUAAGUCGGAUUAGCUAGUUGGUGGGGUAAAGGCCUACCAAGGCGACGAUCGUUAACUGGUCUGAGAGGAUGAUCAGUCACACUGGAACUGAGACACGGUCCAGACUCCUACGGGAGGCAGCAGUGGGGAAUAUUGGACAAUGGGCGAAAGCCUGAUCCAGCCAUGCCGCGUGUGUGAAGAAGGUCUUCGGAUUGUAAAGCACUUUAAGUUGGGAGGAAGGGCAGUAAGUUAAUACCUUGCUGUUUUGACGUUACCGACAGAAUAAGCACCGGCUAACUUCGUGCCAGCCGCCGCCGUAAGAC